UACGUAGGGGGCAAGCGUUGUCCGGAAUCAUUGGGCGUAAAGCGCGUGUAGGCGGCCCGGUAAGUCCGCUGUGAAAGUCGGGGGCUCAACCCUCGAAUGCCGGUGGAUACUGUCGGGCUAGAGUGCGGGAGAGGCGAGUGGAAUUCCUGGUGUAGCGGUGAAAUGCGCAGAUAUCAGGAGGAACACCGAUUGCGAAGGCAGCUCGCUGGGACGUAACUGACGCUGAGACGCGAAAGCGUGGGGAGCAAACAGG
rnacentral:rRNA from 1 species